rnacentral:rRNA from 1 species
GACGAACGCUGGCGGCGUGCUUAACACAUGCAAGUCGAACGAGAACGGAUUAUAGCUUGCUAUAAUUGUCAGCUAAGUGGCGCACGGGUGAGUAAUAUAUAGGUAAUAUGCCUCUUACUAAGGGAUAACAAAUGGAAACGUUUGCUAAUACCUUAUACUCCUUAUUAACAGAAGUUAAUAAGGGAAAGAUUUAUUGGUAAGAGAUUAGCCUGUAUUGUAUCAGUUAGUUGGUGGGGUAAUGGCUUACCAAGACUAUGACACAUAACUGGUUUGAGAGGAUGAUCAGUCACACUGGAACUGAGACACGGUCCAGACUCCUACGGGAGGCAGCAGUGGGGAAUAUUGCACAAUGGACGAAAGUCUGAUGCAGCAACGCCGCGUGGAGGAUGACACAUUUCGGUGCGUAAACUCCUUUUAUAUGAGAAGAUAAUGACGGUAUUAUAUGAAUAAGCACCGGCUAACUCCGUGCCAGCCGCCGCGGUAA